GUUAAGCGACUAAGCGUACACGGUGGAUGCCCUGGCAGUCAGAGGCGAUGAAGGACGUGCUAAUCUGCGAUAAGCGUCGGUAAGGUGAUAUGAACCGUUAUAACCGGCGAUUUCCGAAUGGGGAAACCCAGUGUGAUUCGUCACACUAUCAUUAACUGAAUCCAUAGGUUAAUGAGGCGAACCGGGGGAACUGAAACAUCUAAGUACCCCGAGGAAAAGAAAUCAACCGAGAUUCCCCCAGUAGCGGCGAGCGAACGGGGAGCAGCCCAGAGCCUGAAUCAGUGUGUGUGUUAGUGGAAGCGUCUGGAAAGGCGCGCGAUACAGGGUGACAGCCCCGUACACAAAAAUGCACAUGCUGUGAGCUCGAUGAGUAGGGCGGGACACGUGGUAUCCUGUCUGAAUAUGGGGGGACCAUCCUCCAAGGCUAAAUACUCCUGACUGACCGAUAGUGAACCAGUACCGUGAGGGAAAGGCGAAAAGAACCCCGGCGAGGGGAGUGAAAAAGAACCUGAAACCGUGUACGUACAAGCAGUGGGAGCACAGAGCAAUCUGUGUGACUGCGUACCUUUUGUAUAAUGGGUCAGCGACUUAUAUUCUGUAGCAAGGUUAACCGAAUAGGGGAGCCGAAGGGAAACCGAGUCUUAACUGGGCGUUAAGUUGCAGGGUAUAGACCCGAAACCCGGUGAUCUAGCCAUGGGCAGGUUGAAGGUUGGGUAACACUAACUGGAGGACCGAACCGACUAAUGUUGAAAAAUUAGCGGAUGACUUGUGGCUGGGGGUGAAAGGCCAAUCAAACCGGGAGAUAGCUGGUUCUCCCCGAAAGCUAUUUAGGUAGCGCCUCGUGAAUUCAUCUCCGGGGGUAGAGCACUGUUUCGGCAAGGGGGUCAUCCCGACUUACCAACCCGAUGCAAACUGCGAAUACCGGAGAAUGUUAUCACGGGAGACACACGGCGGGUGCUAACGUCCGUCGUGAAGAGGGAAACAACCCAGACCGCCAGCUAAGGUCCCAAAGUCAUGGUUAAGUGGGAAACGAUGUGGGAAGGCCCAGACAGCCAGGAUGUUGGCUUAGAAGCAGCCAUCAUUUAAAGAAAGCGUAAUAGCUCACUGGUCGAGUCGGCCUGCGCGGAAGAUGUAACGGGGCUAAACCAUGCACCGAAGCUGCGGCAGCGACGCUUAUGCGUUGUUGGGUAGGGGAGCGUUCUGUAAGCCUGUGAAGGUGUACUGUGAGGUAUGCUGGAGGUAUCAGAAGUGCGAAUGCUGACAUAAGUAACGAUAAAGCGGGUGAAAAGCCCGCUCGCCGGAAGACCAAGGGUUCCUGUCCAACGUUAAUCGGGGCAGGGUGAGUCGACCCCUAAGGCGAGGCCGAAAGGCGUAGUCGAUGGGAAACAGGUUAAUAUUCCUGUACUUGGUGUUACUGCGAAGGGGGGACGGAGAAGGCUAUGUUGGCCGGGCGACGGUUGUCCCGGUUUAAGCGUGUAGGCUGGUUUUCCAGGCAAAUCCGGAAAAUCAAGGCUGAGGCGUGAUGACGAGGCACUACGGUGCUGAAGCAACAAAUGCCCUGCUUCCAGGAAAAGCCUCUAAGCAUCAGGUAACAUCAAAUCGUACCCCAAACCGACACAGGUGGUCAGGUAGAGAAUACCAAGGCGCUUGAGAGAACUCGGGUGAAGGAACUAGGCAAAAUGGUGCCGUAACUUCGGGAGAAGGCACGCUGAUAUGUAGGUGAAGUCCCUCGCGGAUGGAGCUGAAAUCAGUCGAAGAUACCAGCUGGCUGCAACUGUUUAUUAAAAACACAGCACUGUGCAAACACGAAAGUGGACGUAUACGGUGUGACGCCUGCCCGGUGCCGGAAGGUUAAUUGAUGGGGUCAGCGCAAGCGAAGCUCUUGAUCGAAGCCCCGGUAAACGGCGGCCGUAACUAUAACGGUCCUAAGGUAGCGAAAUUCCUUGUCGGGUAAGUUCCGACCUGCACGAAUGGCGUAAUGAUGGCCAGGCUGUCUCCACCCGAGACUCAGUGAAAUUGAACUCGCUGUGAAGAUGCAGUGUACCCGCGGCAAGACGGAAAGACCCCGUGAACCUUUACUAUAGCUUGACACUGAACAUUGAGCCUUGAUGUGUAGGAUAGGUGGGAGGCUUUGAAGUGUGGACGCCAGUCUGCAUGGAGCCGACCUUGAAAUACCACCCUUUAAUGUUUGAUGUUCUAACGUUGACCCGUGAUCCGGGUUGCGGACAGUGUCUGGUGGGUAGUUUGACUGGGGCGGUCUCCUCCUAAAGAGUAACGGAGGAGCACGAAGGUUGGCUAAUCCUGGUCGGACAUCAGGAGGUUAGUGCAAUGGCAUAAGCCAGCUUGACUGCGAGCGUGACGGCGCGAGCAGGUGCGAAAGCAGGUCAUAGUGAUCCGGUGGUUCUGAAUGGAAGGGCCAUCGCUCAACGGAUAAAAGGUACUCCGGGGAUAACAGGCUGAUACCGCCCAAGAGUUCAUAUCGACGGCGGUGUUUGGCACCUCGAUGUCGGCUCAUCACAUCCUGGGGCUGAAGUAGGUCCCAAGGGUAUGGCUGUUCGCCAUUUAAAGUGGUACGCGAGCUGGGUUUAGAACGUCGUGAGACAGUUCGGUCCCUAUCUGCCGUGGGCGCUGGAGAACUGAGGGGGGCUGCUCCUAGUACGAGAGGACCGGAGUGGACGCAUCACUGGUGUUCGGGUUGUCAUGCCAAUGGCACUGCCCGGUAGCUAAAUGCGGAAGAGAUAAGUGCUGAAAGCAUCUAAGCACGAAACUUGCCCCGAGAUGAGUUCUCCCUGACUCCUUGAGAGUCCUGAAGGAACGUUGAAGACGACGACGUUGAUAGGCCGGGUGUGUAAGCGCAGCGAUGCGUUGAGCUAACCGGUACUAAUGAACCGUGAGGCUUAACCUUACAACGCCGAAGGUGUUU
rnacentral:rRNA from 1 species